GCGGGAGUUGCCAAGCCCGGUCAAAGGCGGCGGACUUAAGAUCCGCUCCCGAAGGGGUCCGAGGGUUCGAAUCCCUCCUCCCGCACCA
rnacentral:tRNA from 1 species